rnacentral:rRNA from 1 species
UACAGAGGUCUCAAGCGUUGUUCGGAUUCAUUGGGCGUAAAGGGCGCGUAGGCGGCGGGGUAAGUCUGGUGUGAAAUCUAGGAGCUCAACUCCUAAACUGCACUGGAUACUGCUUUGCUAGAGGACUGGAGAGGAGACUGGAAUUCACGGUGUAGCAGUGAAAUGCGUAGAUAUCGUGAGGAAGACCAGUGGCGAAGGCGGGUCUCUGGACAGUUCCUGACGCUGAGGCGCGAAGGCCAGGGGAGCAAACGGG